rnacentral:rRNA from 1 species
CCAGCACCUGCGGUAAUUCCAGCUCCAAUACCGUAUAUUUAAGUUGCUGCAGUUAAAAAGCUCGUAGUUGGAUUUCGGGUGGGGCCUGCCGGUCCGCCGUUUCGGUGUGCACUGGCCGGGCCCACCUUGUUGCCGGGGACGGGCUCCUGGGCUUCGCUGUCCGGGACCCGGAGUCGGCGAGGUUACUUUGAGUAAAUUAGAGUGUUCAAAGCAGGCCUACGCUCUGAAUACAUUAGCAUGGAAUAACACGAUAGGACUCUGGCCUAUCCCGUUGGUCUGUAGGACCGGAGUAAUGAUUAAGAGGGACAGUCGGGGGCAUUCGUAUUUUAUUGUCAGAGGUGAAAUUCUUGGAUUUAUGAAAGACGAACUACUGCGAAAGCAUUUGCCAAGGAUGUUUUCAUUAAUCAAG